UACGGAGGUGGCGAGCGUUGUUCGGAAUCACUGGGCUUAAAGGGCGUGCAGGCGGGAGGCCGCGUGUCGGGUGAAAUCCCCGGGCUCAACCCGGGAACGGUCCGGCAAACGGGCUUUCUUGAGGCGGGUAGAGGUGACUGGAACGACGGGUGGAGCGGUGAAAUGCGUAGAUAUCCGUUGGAACGCCGGUGGCGAAAGCGGGUCGCUGGGCCCGUCCUGACGCUGAGACGCGAAAGCGUGGGUAGCAAACAGG
rnacentral:rRNA from 1 species